UCCUGGCUCAGGACGAACGCUGGCGGCGUGCUUAACACAUGCAAGUCGAACGGGGCGAAGUGAUAGCUUGCUAUUAUGGAGCCUAGUGGCAAACGGGUGAGUAACGCGUAGGCAACCUGCCCUUCAGAUGGGGACAACACCUCGAAAGGGGUGCUAAUACCGAAUGACGUUUCCUAGUCGCAUGACCUGGAAACCAAAGGCCGGGCAACCGGUCACUGAAAGAUGGGCUCGCGUCCGAUUAGCUAGAUGGUGAGGUAACGGCUCACCAUGGCGACGAUCGGUAGCCGGACUGAGAGGUUGAUCGGCCACAUUGGGACUGAGACACGGCCCAGACUCCUACGGGAGGCAGCAGUGGGGGAUAUUGCACAAUGGGCGAAAGCCUGAUGCAGCGACGCCGCGUGAGGGAAGACGGUUUUCGGAUUGUAAACCUCUGUCUUCGGGGACGAAAAUGACGGUACCCGAGGAGGAAGCCACGGCUAACUACGUG
rnacentral:rRNA from 1 species